GGAUGUGUGCCCGAGACUUAGGGGUUACUUUGAUAGAGUAAACCACAGGGACUUACCAAACCCUCACCUCCU
rnacentral:tRNA from 1 species